rnacentral:tRNA from 1 species
AAUAUAGAAAGCAUAGGCUAUGUAGUUUCGACCUACAGAUUGGGUACCCCCUAUAUCA